UAUGCAUUCGGCUCUUUCAGCCGACCAGUCAUUGUGUAUUUCAUUUAUUCGGCUCUUUCAGCCGACCAGUUACUGUGUACUUCUUCCAUUCGGCUCUUCUGCCGACAUUGAUCUCUGCACAGUUCAUACAUUCGGCUCAUCCAGCCGAACUGAUUCUACAGUAAACGUUUUUCGAACUCGGCUGAUCCAAUCCCUCGUCAGCCAAAUUGCUUGAUCCAAUCGAAGGGCGCAAACUUCAAGGGUCACUAAUCGUAGCCGUUCUGUAUCUCGACACGCUCCCCGAGGAGAAUCUUUGAUCGGGUUAAGGGUCGGGGAAUUCGGCUACCAACACAGAA
rnacentral:lncRNA from 1 species